CCUACGGGCGGCUGCAGUGGGGAAUAUUGCACAAUGGGCGCAAGCCUGAUGCAGCCAUGCCGCGUGUGUGAAGAAGGCCUUCGGGUUGUAAAGCACUUUCAGCGGGGAGGAAGGCGGUGAGGUUAAUAACCUCAUCGAUUGACGUUACCCGCAGAAGAAGCACCGGCUAACUCCGUGCCAGCAGCCGCGGUAAUACGGAGGGUGCAAGCGUUAAUCGGAAUUACUGGGCGUGAAGCGCACGCAGGCGGUCUGUCAAGUCGGAUGUGAAAUCCCCGGGCUCAACCUGGGAACUGCAUUCGAAACUGGCAGGCUAGAGUCUUGUAGAGGGGGGUAGAAUUCCAGGUGUAGCGGUGAAAUGCGUAGAGAUCUGGAGGAAUACCGGUGGCGAAGGCGGCCCCCUGGACAAAGACUGACGCUCAGGUGCGAAAGCGUGGGGAGCAAACAGGAUUAGAUACCCCGGUAGUC
rnacentral:rRNA from 1 species